GUCAGGCCAGUGCCCAAGCACUGAAAGAGCCAUCAGUGUAUACUCCCAUAAAGGUCUACCAUCCCUUUGAAUUAGUUGGGAUGGAUUUAAUUGGAAAACUGACCGAAACAAAAUCUGGACACAAGUAUAUUUGUGUCAUGAUUGACUACUUAACGAAGUGACCACAGGCAUAUCCACUAAAGACCAAAUCAGCGCCUGAAGUUACAAAAUGCAUAAUUAAGUUUGUAGCCCCAAAAAGGAUUUUGACAGACCAAGGAUAAGAAUUUGCAAAUGCCAUAAACCAUGAAGUUUGCAAGAUUCUCAACAUCAAACGAAGCUUGUGUUCCCCAUAUCACCCCCAAACAAAUGGGUUGGUUGAAAAAAUGAAUGGGACUAUUCAAAGAGCUCUGAGUAAGGUUGUGGGUGGCCAUCCACACACCUGGGAUGAGUAUUUGGAUUAUGUGAUAUUUGGGAUAAGCACCAAAAGGCAAGUAACCACACAGUAUUCCCCAUACUUCCUCAUGUUCGGAAGAGAGGCACGCUAUCCCUCAGAAGU